rnacentral:lncRNA from 1 species
UGGCUGGCUCAAUAGAUCGGUAUGACUGGGUAAUUUAAAUCCAUCAGGGUGAUCUCGGGUUCCCUAGAAAGGUAAGGAGAUUAUGCUCAACGUGUGGCAUCCGUCGUGUUAUUUGCGAAAUUACAAACCGAGUGAUGUGGUCUUAUUUGGAAGUUCACAUUCGAGUAAAAGAUGAAGGAACAUGUUCGCCGUCACAUGUGAAACA